UACGAAGGGGGCUAGCGUUGUUCGGAAUCACUGGGCGUAAAGGGCGCGUAGGCGGCUUUGUAAGUUGGGGGUGAAAGCCUGUGGCUCAACCACAGAAUUGCCUUCGAUACUGCAUGGCUUGAGACCGGAAGAGGUAAGUGGAACUGCGAGUGUAGAGGUGAAAUUCGUAGAUAUUCGCAAGAACACCAGUGGCGAAGGCGGCUUACUGGUCCGGUUCUGACGCUGAGGCGCGAAAGCGUGGGGAGCAAACAGG
rnacentral:rRNA from 1 species